UCCAUUUUUAUUUUGUUUCUAAAGUUAAAUUACUGCUACUUUGAACAUGGAUGCAAUUUUAUUGGCAACUUUAUUGGAAAAAAGCAGAGUUUAAAAGAAAAAAUAAGAAGUCACAUUUUGCGAGACAUAUGAAAUAUGUAGGUAAGUGAAAUGCAGAACAUGGGCGAUAUUAUUGCAAAUUUUCAAAGAAAAAUGAAUUAGAUAAAGUGUAAAGCGAAUGAGGUUUCAAACACAGAGGCAUGAUAUUUCAUGCCUCAUGUGUUUUAUGUAUUUUGUAUUAAAUUAACAACAAUAAACAUUACAAAACAAUAAAAAUAUAAGUUUUGAUAAUAUUUUGUCCAAAAAUUGGAGAUUCAUUGAAAAAGAUACCAAGUUCACGAGCAGAAACAAAGCGAAUUGAAUUCGAUCAGAAAAUCGAAAUGAGCGAAAAAAUGUAGAACACCUUAAUCACUAUCGGCAACGCAAUUGCACAGAGAAAAAUAGACCACAUAAAAUAGAACAAAAACAAUAAGAUUUCUCUAUGGUUUUCAUCCAAGAAGGAAACCUUAUUAAAACAAUCGGGUUUUCCUUAUUGUUUUAAAAUCUGCAAAAAAAUAAAAAAAACGAUGACCAGGCUGGGAAUCGAACUGGAGACUUCAAAUCAUUAGUCGCCCACCUUACCACCUGAACCAACCUGCCAUGAAAUUAUUGAUCGCGAUUUUUGUUCUAGUGCUAAGUUGCAAAAAAAAUCAACUUUUCAGUCAAAUUUUAAUAAGAUUUUCUCUAUAAAAAUAAUAAGAAAUCUCCUUAAAAAAACCUUAUUAAUCGUUGAUUUUAAUAAGAUUUCCUUAUGAAAUGUAUGGACGGUAAAACAAUAUGGCAAUCUGUUAGUUUUUAGCGGGUCAUAUUUUUCUCUGUACAGUUUUUUAAUCGCUGCAGUUAUAAGGUGUGAACUUGCGAUAGUGAUAGCGGGUGUUAAAAAUUGUGAACAGUAUUAAAUUGUUAUGGAUAUUAAACGAGA